rnacentral:lncRNA from 12 species
CAAGGGGUCAGUCAGGGGUCAGUUAACAGUCAAGGGGUCACUCGGGGUCAGUCAGAGUUCAAGGGGUCGGGUCAGAGUUUAAGCGGUCACUCACGGGUCAGAGCUCAAGGGGUCACUCAGGGGUCACUCAGGGGCCAAGGGGUCACUCAGUGGUCAGACAAGGAUCAGGGGGUCACUUGGGGGACAGUCAGGGAUAAAGGGGUCACUCGGGGUCAGAGUUCAAGGGGUCAGUCAGGGGUCAGUCAGAGUUUAAGUNUCAGGGGUCACUCAGGGUCACUCGGGGGUCAAGGGGUCACUCAGGGGUCAGUCAGUUCAAGGGGUAAGUCAGGGUCACUCAGGGGUCAGUGAGGUCAAGGGGUCACUCAGAGGUCAGUCAGAGUUCAAGGGGUAAGUCAGGGGUCAGUCAGAGUUUAAGCGGUCACUCGGGUCAGUCAGAGGUCAGGGGGUCACUCAGGGUCACUCGGGGUUCAGUCAGGUCAAGGGGUCACUCAGGGGUCAGUUAGCGGUCAAGGGGUCACUUAACAGUCAAGGGGUCAGUCAGGGGUCAGUUAACGGUCAAGGGGUCACUCAGGGGUCAGUCAGAGCUCAAGGGGUCACUCAGGGGUCAGUCAGGGGCCAAGGGGUCACUCAGGGGUCAGACAAGGGUCAGGGGGUCACUUGGGGGUCAGUCAGAGUUCAAGGGGUCACUCAGGGGUCAGUCAGAGUUCAAGGGGUCAGUCAGGGGACAAGGGGUCACUCGGGGUCAUUCAGAGGUCAACGGGUCACUCAGGGGUCAUUGGAAGGAUGAAAGGGUCACUCGGGUCAGUCAGAAGGUGGAAAGUUCAGUCAGAAGUCAAGGGGUCAGUCAGGGGUCAUGG